AAAAUAUAAGUGGACGUGGCCGGUUACUUAUACAUCCCGACACAAAAAGACACAAUGAACAGAUCUGAAAGUACUCGCAGUUAUCUGACAGCUAGUUCAAAGCCACUAACAACUAAUAAAAAAAAUCAUGCAUCUAAGACUAAACUAUCAAUCCGUACACAUCCAACAUCCAAUGGAUUUAGUGUAAAGACAUCAUAAACAGACAGAGAAAAACAUGACCUUGUGCA
rnacentral:lncRNA from 1 species